rnacentral:rRNA from 1 species
UAGGGAAUUUUCGUCAAUGGGCGCAAGCCUGAACGAGCAAUGCCGCGUGAACGAGGAAGGUCUUCGGAUCGUAAAGUUCUGUUGAAGGGGAAAAAAGAGCGGAGAGAGGAAAUGCUUUCUGAUUGAUAUUACCCUUCGAGGAAGUCACGGCUAACUACGUGCC